UUUAUACUUCCUUUGUCCGAAAAAACUUGUUUCAAAUUUGUUUUUUAAAUGGAUGUAUCUAUCAUUAAUUUGGAGCUAGAUACAUCCAUUUGAGGAAGUUUUUUCGGACAGAAAGAGUACUAU
rfam:Triticum aestivum genome assembly, contig: Triticum_aestivum_CS42_TGACv1_scaffold_471109_6AL